rnacentral:lncRNA from 1 species
AUGCGUACAGUCAUACCAGUCUGCAUGACAAGCAUCACACACACACACACACACGUGUUUCCUUUUGCAUUGUCUGUCUUUCUCUCAAACACACACUCUCUUUUACACACACACACACACACACACACACACACACACACACACACACACACACACACACACCAACGCUGCACUACUCUCUCUGUCUUGGAAUUUUACAUUUUGAUGAAGGAGGAAGAGCGUCGUCCAAUCAGAGCAGCGAGAACCGGGAGAGACCAUCAGGGCACAGACGACGGGGAGAUCCGGAGGCAGCUGGAUGGAGCGACACCAGUGCUAGGGUGUAGCUACUGAUCUUAUACUACAGCGCAGAGAGGGAGGAGGGACGUCAGGUGUCAAAGCGCUGCAACCCCAGAUGAGGCUGCAUCGCCACGACAACCAGCUCCAGGGGUGCCGCCAGGUGAGUCUGAGGACACGCUCACACACACACUCACACACACACACACACACGCACACACACACAGACACACACACGGUGACACACGUGCUAUAAAUGCACACAAAGUAAUUCAACCUAGGGAUGGAAUGAACAGGUUCCCGCACACAGGUGUGCAGCUCGUGAUGUGUUUCAGGAUGUCAGCGUUGUCACCGUGCAUCCCCCGUCGCCGCGCUGAUGUGUCAGUGUGAGCGUGUGCACGGCCGCUGUCAGCGGGCGUGCGUUUGUGCGUGCGUGCGUCUGUAGCCAUGCCAGUAUGUACAGUAUACGUGUGUGUACGCACACCGUCCCUCCCAGUGUGGUGGUGGGAGACAAAGGGUCCCCUCUGUCUGGCACCGCUGCCGACAGCGGGAAAGUUGUCGCUGGGAGCGAUCACGUCUCAUCAGAAAAAGAAAAGGAGUCCAGUAGGGUGCACCCCCCCACCACCAUCACCACCACCACCACCACCACCUUCAUCGCUGUCGAACACUCCUGACUCACGGUGAUAGGAGGACACGGUCACAGCGGAUGAUCAACGGGGUGGGUGGGGGUUGGUGUGGGGGUGGGGUGUGUUCUGAGGACACAGAGGCUGCGAGGAAGACGGGGGGGGGGGGGGGGGGGGGGGGGGACUUGGCGGUCUUGACACUACUGUAAUUUUUUGACAGACGUGCCUUUAAAGGAUGGAGCUAGAACACAUGUGCAGCGAGAAGCUGCCGGCGGAGGGGAAGGAAAAAGAACGGGAGCAUGUGCCACAUG